UCGCGAAAACUUUGCAAUACACGAAAGUGUGACAGGGCUAUCCCGAGUGCCAUCCGCUGAGGAAGGCUUUUACCCAGUUUAGAAAGCUGGGGGGAAUAAGGAGAGGGCAAGUCUGGUGUCAGCCGCCGCGGUAAUACCAGCUCUCCGAGUGGUGUGGAUGUUUAUUGGGCCUAAAGCAUCCGUAGCUGGCUGAGUUAGUCCCCUGUUAAAUCCACCGAAUUAAUCGUUGGAUUGCGGGGGAUACUGCUUGGCUAGGGGACGGGAGAGGCAGACGGUAUUUCCGGGGUAGGGGUGAAAUCCUAUAAUCCCGGGAGGACCACCAGUGGCGAAGGCUGUCUGCUAGAACGCGCCCGACGGUGAGGGAUGAAAGCUGGGGGAGCGAACCGGAUUAGAUACCCGGGUAGUCCCAGCUGUAAACGAUGCAGGCUAGGUGUUUGGGCGGCCACGUGCCGCUCUAGUGCCGCAGGGAGCUGUUAAGCCUGCCGCCUGGGGAGUACGAUCGCAAGAUUGAAACUUAAGGAAUUGGCGGGGG
rnacentral:rRNA from 1 species